UGAGCAAGAGUAUGGUUUGGUAAAUGCUUUUUGAUCAUUCAGGUUCUAUUUCACUUGCCAAUAUUUAACAUUACAUACUGUAUACACCUAAAAGAGCUGUCUAUGGUGUUUCCUACCUUAUCACCUCUUUCUCCAGAUGGCCCAGGUUGCCCAGUCUCACCUCUCUGUCCUUUUUCCCCUGGCAGACCAGCUGGUCCUGUAGAUCCCAAGGACCCAAUCGGACCUUGAGCUCCCAGCUCACCAGGUUGACCCUGAAAAGAGUCAAAACAGGUCUCCAGCACCACCUAUCUGAGAUGCCUGGGUUAAACUGCAAGUCUUCCUGGCUCUAUCAACCUCAAAGACUGAUAAUGACUGAGAGCUUUGUUAAGACCAAACUGAUACCAUGUCAUAACAUCUAUUAUCACAUCUAUUAUUUGUGCCCAUCCAAUGUGUCUACGACAGCAUUACAGUCUCAGGACAGCUGUACAAAUAAAGAGGAUGAAGAUGCUGUAGCUGGACAUUGUACGUGAAGAACAGUUUCAGAAAGACCUUUCAGUGAGGACAUUGGAGUGAUCCUGUUCCUACUCCACAUUCUGAGCAGCCAGCAUUUUGUGAGGUCUCUGACACAACACUACAGGAGUUACCAAGGAAAUGACUUCCCAAGUAGAGAAAGUGGAGGAAAGUUUUCACUGUCUGUUGGACGUAUCAGGAGAAAAUUACAAUCAUGGACUUUAUGGGAGACCUAAGAGGAAGAGAUGAAAAAAGUCUAAAAUUACGAAGUUGCUCUUUGCCUCUAAUUAAAAACAUUGACUGCUACCGCCUACUGGAAAACAGUACAUCUUGACUGUGAAAAAGAAGGCAGAAGAAAUUAUCAAUUGGUCCAGACUGGCACUAAAAAGUAUGUAGAAUACUUAUUGGCAUAUAAACUUUCACUGAUGACUUUCUCCCCUCAUUAUCUGUUCAAUUUUUCUUGAAUGAAUAUGUACAGUAUCACACACUACAUGCAGAGAUUUAACACAUUUUGAUACGUCCUAUGGAAGAAAGAGUCCAUGGAAGUCUUGCAUGUCCUAUGGAAGAAAGAGUCUUUUUGAGCUGUGACAUAGAUCAAAAGACAAACAGCAUAAUGUAAACCUAAUUCUAACAGGGCUGUAAUCCCAAUUAAACGGAAGCUGGACUUCCAUUGUGAUGUGGACAACUGUAAUGAUAUCCGAAUGGGAUAUACUGCUAGCAAUAGUGACUAGACUGUUUUUCAGACAGUGGAUGAUUUCUUGCUAAUGAACAGUAGUGCAAAUCUGUCUAUAGCACAGUUAUCUAAGCUUGAGAGAAAUAAAAAAUGACAUGUACACAAGCUCUUCUAAGACCCAAUAUAGCAAACUUCUAUACUGGGUUUAUAAAAAUCUUAAAUAAAAGUUCAGGUAUUUGCUUCUACUUUUCUUCCAACCUGCCCAAUUUCAAUACAUUCAAGUAUGGCCACGGCAGUUUCCUUUUCAUACUCCCAUGGUCAUAUUUCCUCUAGCUACAGCCUCAAUUAUCUCGUCCACUUACAAUGAAGAAGGCUUUCUGUGUGUGCAUUUAACAGAUUUUCAAAAACGCAACUGGAAGGCAAAGUCUGAAUUACUGUGCACUCACAGUCAGUUGCACAGAUAUUGUACACUGUCCUGGUAACCACAGCUUUAACUAGUCAUGCUUAAACUGCAUUAAAAAAAAUAUAAAAAAUAGAAAAGUCAUUAUGCCAAAGAC